GACGAACGCUGGCGGCGUGCUUAACACAUGCAAGUCGAACGGUAAGGCCCUUCGGGGUACACGAGUGGCGAACGGGUGAGUAACACGUGGGUGAUCUGCCCUGCACUUCGGGAUAAGCCUGGGAAACUGGGUCUAAUACCGGAUAGGACUCCUGCCUGCAUGGGUGGGGGUGGAAAGCUUUUGCGGUGUGGGAUGGGCCCGCGGCCUAUCAGCUUGUUGGUGGGGUGAUGGCCUACCAAGGCGACGACGGGUAGCCGGCCUGAGAGGGUGACCGGCCACACUGGGACUGUGAUACGGCCCAGACUCCUACGGGAGGCAGCAGUGGGGAAUAUUACACGAUGGGCGCAAGCCUGAUGCGGCGGCGCCGCGUGAGGGAUGACGGCCUUCGGGUUGUAAACCUCUUUCAGCACAGACGAAGCGCAAGUGACGGUAUGUGCAGAAGAAGGACCGGCCAACUACGUGCCAGCCGCCGCGGUAA
rnacentral:rRNA from 1 species